UGAGGAAUAUUGGUCAAUGGACGGAAGUCUGAACCAGCCAAGUAGCGUGCAGGAUGACGGCCCUAUGGGUUGUAAACUGCUUUUAUACGGGGAUAAAGUUAGGGACGUGUCCCUAUUUGCAGGUACCGUAUGAAUAAGGACCGGCUAAUUCCGUGCCAGCAGCCGCGGUAAUACGGAAGGUCCGGGCGUUAUCCGGAUUUAUUGGGUUUAAAGGGAGCGUAGGCCGUAGAUUAAGUGUGUUGUGAAAUGUAGACGCUCAACGUCUGACUUGCAGCGCAUACUGGUUUACUUGAGUUUGCACAACGUUGGCGGAAUUCGUCGUGUAGCGGUGAAAUGCUUAGAUAUGACGAAGAACUCCGAUUGCGAAGGCAGCUUGCGGGAGCAAAACUGACGCUGAAGCUCGAAAGUGCGGGUAUCGAACAGG
rnacentral:rRNA from 2 species